GACGAACGCUGGCGGCGUGCUUAACACAUGCAAGUCGAACGGAAAGGGCUUGCAUCUUGGUGGUGCCCGAGUGGGGAACGGAUGAGUAAGAAGUGAGUAACCUGCCUUCGAUUUUGGGAGAACUACAAGAAGGUGAGGCUAACACCGAAUAGGAGCUCCUGCUGCAUGGCGGGGGUGGGAAAGUUUCGGCGGUUGGGGCUGGACACGCGGCAUAGCAGCUUGUGGGUGGGGUAGUGUAUUACCAAGGCUUGGACGGGUAGCCGGCCUGAGAGGGUGACCGGCCCCAGUGGGACUGAGAUACGGCCCAGACUCCUACGGGCGGCAGCAGUGGGGAAUUUUCCGCAAUGGGCGGAGGCCUGAUGCAGCGACGCCGCGUUCGGGAUGUCGGCCUUCGGGUAGUAAACCGCUUCCGCCUGUGACGAAGCGUGAGUGACGGUAAUGGGUAAAGAAGCACCGGCUAACUACGUG
rnacentral:rRNA from 1 species